rnacentral:lncRNA from 1 species
GCACUGUUGAAGUCUGGUUAGCACUAUUGAAGGUUGAUGGCUGGAGAGGCACGAAAGACACCGGAGACAGUCGGUCACUAUAGAAAUUCGAUUGCUGGAGCCCGUCUGUCGUAGAAGUUCGGACGGAGUUCGAUUCUUGUAGAAGCUCAGAUGGAGACCAGUUGCCAUGGAAGCCUGGAUAGAGAUCGCUUAUUGUAGAAGCUCGGAUGAAGUUCACUUACCGUAGAAGCUCGGAUGAAGUCCACUUACCGUAGCAGCUUGGAUAAAGUCCGCUUGCAAUAGAAGUUCGAAGUAGAAAUCCGGAAGGUGGUCAACCAUUGUAGGAACUAGGAUGGAGUCUGGUUACUGUAGAAGUCCUGCUGCUGGAGGCAUUGACGAAGUCUGAAAGAAGCUCAGAGUAAAGUCGAUCAUGACAGGAGGAAGUCUGGAAGAGAUUCAGAGAGUAGUCGAUC